rnacentral:rRNA from 1 species
CCUACGGGUGGCAGCAGUGGGGAAUAUUGGGCAAUGGGCGCAAGCCUGACCCAGCAACGCCGCGUGAAGGAAGAAGGCUUUCGGGUUGUAACCUUCUUUUCUCAGGGACGAAGCAAGUGACGGUACCUGAGGAAUAAGCCACGGCUAACUGCGUGCCAGCAGCCGCGGUAAUACGUAGGGGGCAAGCGUUAACCGUAUUUACUGGGGGUAAAGGGCGGGUGGGCGGGAAGGCAAGUCAGAUGUGAAAACCACGGGCUCAACCUGUGGCCUGCAUUUGAAACUGUGUUUCUUGAGUACUGGAGAGGCAGACGGAAUUCGUAGUGUAGCGGUGAAAUGCGUAGAUAGUAGGAGGAACACCAGUGGCGAAGGCGGUCUGCUGGACAGCAACUGACGCUGAGGCGCGAAAGCGUGGGGAGCAAACAGGAUUAGAUACCCGAGUAGUC